UGAAGACCAACUACUGCGAAAGCAUUUGCCAAGAAUGUUUUCAUUAAUCAAGAACGAAAGUUAGAGGUUCAGAAGGCGAUUAGAUACCGCCCUAGUUCUAACCAUAAACGAUGCCAGCUAGCGAUCUGCCGACGUUUUUUUUGUAGACUCGGCAGGAAGCUUCCGGGAAACCAAAGCAUUUGGGUUCCAGGGGAAGUAUGGUUGCAAAGCUGAAACUUAAAGAAAUUGACGGAAGGGCACCACCAGGAGUGGAGCCUGUGGCUUAAUUUGACUCAACACGGGAAAUCUCACCAGGCCCGGACACUGGAAGGAUUGACAGAUUGAUAGCUCUUUCUUGAUUCGGUGGGUGGUGGUGCAUGGCCGUUCUUAGUUGGUGGAGUGAUUUGUCUGGUUAAU
rnacentral:rRNA from 1 species